AACGUAGGUGGCAAGCGUUAUCCGGAUUUACUGGGCGUAAAGCGUGUGCAGGCUGCGCUUCAAGUGGUGUAUGAAAUCGCUCGGCUCAACCGGGCGCGGUUAUGCCAGACUGGAGUGCUUGAGUCUGAAAGAGGGGGGUGGAAUUCCGGGUGUAGUGGUGAAAUGCGUAGAGAUCCGGAGGAACCCCAGAGGCGAAGGCGCCCAUCUGGCCUGUUACUGACGCUGAGGCGCGAAAGCCGGGGGAGCAAACAGG
rnacentral:rRNA from 1 species